CAUGAGCAAAACCACCCCAGUUGAGAGCCAUUGGUCUACACUUGUGGAAAUGUUUGAGGCUGGACUACACAGGCUGAAGCUCUCUCUGCCGAGAUAUAGAUAUUUCCCUGGUGAUGAUCUUUCAAGCUGACAUGAAGACAUGGCCACCCACUGGAACGUCGUGUGUCUGCCGUGGCGCUCUUGUAAUUUGUGAGGGAGGCUCCUGACGAAUGCAGUGCGUUGUCAUUUUUCUUCUUGUGGCCUCUGGAAUGUGACACAG
rnacentral:lncRNA from 10 species